rnacentral:tRNA from 1 species
GCCCGACUGGAGCGGCGAGGUCCCGGCCGAUGCCGGCGACCCCGCUGACGGAGCGUUCUGGCCGCUCGUCGAGCA